rnacentral:sRNA from 2 species
AAAAGAACUUUGGAGAGAGAGUCAAAAAGACCGCGAAACCGUUAGGAGGGAAACGAAUGCAGCCAAAGUGGCUCUCAUUCAGGCUCAGGAGUUGUCGGUGCGCAGUGCCAGGCUGUUGGACACCGAAGGGUGCGGCAGUCAGGAUACAGCAUGCCGAGCACUCUGCAUUCCUGAUGAGAGUCGGCCAACAGCAGUUACCCCUGACUCGAAAGGGCUGUCGGGAAGGUAGCUUCUUGGUUUACCAGGAAGAACUUAUAGCCAUCGGCCUGGCAGUUGGGGGUGACUGAGGAGUGCUGUGACUUUUCACACCAGCAGUGCAGGCUCCCUAGGGGCCGGGUCGCUUCUGUCCGUGUGGGCAAUGCUUCCGGGACUGCAUGCAGUGUCGGAAGACAUGUGUGUGCUCGGGUGGGAGGUUGGCCACGCCUUGCACUGAAGUUG